rnacentral:rRNA from 1 species
GACGAACGCUGGCGGCGUGCUUAACACAUGCAAGUCGAACGGAAAGGCCCUGCUUUUGUGGGGUGCUCGAGUGGCGAACGGGUGAGUAACACGUGAGUAACCUGCCCUUGACUUUGGGAUAACUUCAGGAAACUGGGGCUAAUACCGGAUAGGAGCUCCUGCUGCAUGGUGGGGGUUGGAAAGUUUCGGCGGUUGGGGAUGGACUCGCGGCUUAUCAGCUUGUUGGUGGGGUAGUGGCUUACCAAGGCUUUGACGGGUAGCCGGCCUGAGCGGGUGACCGGCCACAUUGGGACUAAGAUACGGCCCAGACUCCUACGGGAGGCAGCAGUGGGGAAUAUUGCACAAUGGGCGGAAGCCUGAUGCAGCAACGCCGCGUGCGGGAUGACGGCCUUCGGGUUGUAAACCGCUUUCGCCUGUGACGAAGCGUGAGUGACGGUAAUGGGUAAAGAAGCACCGGCUAACUACGUG